rnacentral:rRNA from 1 species
UUGGAGGGCAAGUCUGGUGCCAGCAGCCGCGGUAAUUCCAGCUCCAAUAGCGUAUAUUAAAGUUGUUGCAGUUAAAAAGCUCGUAGUUGAAUUUCGGGAUCAAUUUAUUGGUCGUGCCAACGGUACGCACUGGUACAAUUGGUUUCUCCCUUCUGACGAAGCAUGAUGUCAUUAAUUUGAUGUCGUGGAGAAUCAGGACUGUUACUUUGAAAAAAUUAGAGUGUUUAAAGCAGGCUUUGGCUUGAAUACAUUAGCAUGGAAUAAUGAAAUAGGACGUUUGAUCUUAUUUCGUUGGUUUCUAAGAUCGACGUAAUGAUUAAUAGGGAUAGUUGGGGGCAUUAGUAUUCAAUUGUCAGAGGUGAAAUUCUUGGAUUUAUUGAAGACUAACUACUGCGAAAGCAUUUGCCAAGGAUGUUUUCAUUAAUCAAGAACGAAAGUUAGGGGAUCGAAGACGAUCAGAUACCGUCGUAGUCUUAACCAUAAACUAUGCCGACUAGGGAUCGGAUGAUGUUAAUUUUUUAAUGACUCAUUCGGCGCCUUACGGGAAAC